CCUACGGGUGGCAGCAGUGAGGAAUAUUGGUCAAUGGACGAGCGUCUGAACCAGCCAAGUAGCGUGAAGGAUGACUGCCCUAUGGGUUGUAAACUUCUUUUAUAUGGGAAUAAAACGUUCCACGUGUGGGAUUUUGUAUGUACCAUAUGAAUAAGGAUCGGCUAACUCCGUGCCAGCAGCCGCGGUAAUACGGAGGAUCCGAGCGUUAUCCGGAUUUAUUGGGUUUAAAGGGAGCGUAGGAGGAUUGUUAAGUCGGUUGUGAAAGUUUGCGGCUCAACCGUAAAAUUGCAGGUGAAACUGGCAGUCUUGAGUACAGUAGAGGUGGGCGGAAUUCGUGGUGUAGCGGUGAAAUGCUUAGAUAUCACGAAGAACUCCGAUUGCGAAGGCAGUUCACUGGACUGCAACUGACACUGAGGCUCGAAAGUGUGGGUAUCAAACAGGAUUAGAUACCCUUGUAGUC
rnacentral:rRNA from 1 species